UGGGGAAUAUUGGACAAUGGGCGCAAGCCUGAUCCAGCCAUGCCGCGUGAGUGAUGAAGGCCCUAGGGUUGUAAAGCUCUUUCACCGGUGAAGAUAAUGACGGUAACCGGAGAAGAAGCCCCGGCUAACUUCGUGCCAGCAGCCGCGGUAAUACGAAGGGGGCUAGCGUUGUUCGGAUUUACUGGGCGUAAAGCGCACGUAGGCGGACUAUUAAGUCAGGGGUGAAAUCCCGGGGCUCAACCCCGGAAGUGCCUUUGAUACUGGUAGUCUUGAGUUCGAGAGAGGUGAGUGGAAUUCCGAGUGUAGAGGUGAAAUUCGUAGAUAUUCGGAGGAACACCAGUGGCGAAGGCGGCUCACUGGCUCGAUACUGACGCUGAGGUGCGAAAGCGUGGGGAGCAAACAGG
rnacentral:rRNA from 1 species